CCGAUGGAAGGUGGCGGCAAGAGCUAGAAGGUGAGUGGCACCGCGAGCUCUCGUCCCGACGAAGCCGCGGAAGGACGAGCACAACCCAGCCGAGAUGCGGUCGUCGGUGCCGUGAUGGGGUGGAGCUGCAGAGUAGGGGCGGCGACAAGGGGAAGGAGUAGACAAGGGAGGAGCGGAGAAGGUCGUCUCCCGCGCUGCACCGCAGACAAGAGGGUGGCGGGCGGCAGUCGCCGUGGCGGAAGAGAGGAAGACCAGCUGCCACGCAGGGGAGAGGAAGGAAAGUUGCGCCAUAGUGAAAGCGAGGCAGCCCAAGGCUAUCGCGGAGGAGAACGAGGAGGGGCAGCGCUGCCACGGAGGAGAGCGACGAGGAUUGCGGCGUCACUGCAGAUGAGGAGGAGAGCCACUACACCGCACGAUUCCAGACAAAGGAAAUGAAGCGCAGGCGCAGUGCCGCUGCAGCCGCUGGAUUUUCUCCCGGGUCAUGGGAGGCGUUUGGGAGGAUCGACUAGGAAGGAUCGAACGGCACCUAGAGAAGACCUGCACAAGGAUGCCACAAAGAUCUCCAAGGAUGUCCUCGACUCUGCCAGACAACAGAUUUCUUUACAAAUUCGAAGCCAGAACUCAAAAAAGAAAGGGCAAGGAAAUGAAGGGUGCAAGACUACUAGAGGCAAAGACAGGCGGACGCGGCCAGAGCAGUAUGGUGGCGUCGAUGGGUGUGGAGGAGUGUGUGAAGAGGUUGUAGAACACCGCUGAGGAGCUUGUCCGCAGGACGAGCUGCUCCCGAUGCUGCAUGGCAACCCAGCCGGAUCUGCCUCGACAGGUUCGAGCCCUCCGUCACGGGCCCCGUGCACAUCUGGCAGGGUGUUGGGAAGGUGAUCAAUGUGAACAAGAUGGUCAGGGCCAGAUGGAGUGAAGAUCCUAAUAGCAGACCAGAGGCCGACUUGGCAAGAUCAGGAAGCAGCUGGACCACAACAAGGACGUCGGCGGCGGCUUCUCCGCCAUGUGGGAUUAUUCUUUGACCUUUCACAAUUCCUUCAGGCGUCCAUAACAUCAAGCAUAAUUUUGGUGUUUCUUAACCUUUUGCAUUCUACUCUAAUCAUUUAAAUUGGGCCUAUGACUCAGAAGUUUUUUUUUAAUACUUUUAGUUGUGAAUUUUGUUUUGUGGUCUUCUUCCUGAUUCGAUGUGAUUAGCAUAAUACUAAAUUUGCCGGCUAUUGAUACUUCUGUGUGAACCAGAUUAAUCUAAAGCACCAAGAUCUGCUCGUUCAUUAUUUUGAUUCAAGCUAAUCGAAUGUUCAUUAUUUUGAGUCAAUACAGUACAAUGGAGAGCUAUCCAUGACAUGUAUGGGAGCAAGGGAACCGGAGGUGCUAGAUGCAGGCACUAAUUGUAUUUAGAGUUUGGCUGCAAUAAUCAAAUCUUUUAGGAUGGUACAACCUUGGACUAGGGGAUACCAUGAACAGAUCUUAGUCAAAUAAUUUAUGAGUGACUUCUACUGUUAACCUUAUCUUUGGUUCAGAAAAUAGGAUCUAGCUUAAGUCAAGUUAACCAUCAAUUUGUUUCAGGGUUAGUCUCUAUUCUUAUCCCAUGUAAAGAAAAUCUGUACUAUGAAUUAAGUGACACCAUGAAAUAAUCUGGAUCAAUAUAAGAAAGAAGAAUUACAAGUUUGUUAAAGAGUGGGGAAUCAGAAGUACAAAAGUAGUAAAUCAAUGAUGGCUUGCUCAUGUUGGUUAUGCUGUAAUCGGUUCCAGUGUGUGAGACAACAACCAAGAGCAGUCUAUUUUAUCAUUCUAAAACAGUACCAUUUACACCAAACGUCCGUAUAGUAGCAUGUUC